rnacentral:rRNA from 1 species
GCUCUACGUCGAGACGCGAGUCCGUGACCGUAAGGUCUGAAGCUGUUGAGCCUAUACUGCCUAGAAAAUCUUCUAAGUUUAGGAUGUGCAAACCGUACCGCAAACCAACUCAGGUGGGUGGGAUGAAUAAUCCAAGGCGCUCGAGAGAACUCUGGCCAAGGAACUCGGCAAAAUAACCCCGUACCUUCGGAAGAAGGGGUGCUCCUCCGGGUGAAGUUAAUUCACUUAACGAGCCUGAGGGAGCCGCAGAGAAAUGGUGGUGGCGACUGUUUACUAAAAACAUAGGUCUGUGCGAAGUCCUAAAGACGACGUAUACGGACUGACGCCUGCCCGGUGCCGGAAGGUUAAAAGGAGAGGUCAGCGCAAGCGAAGCUUCGAAUUGAAGCCCCGGUAAACGGCGGCCGUAACUAUAACGGUCCUAAGGUAGCGAAAUUCCUUGUCGGGUAAGUUCCGACCUGCACGAAUGGCGUAACGAUCUCCACACUGUCUCGGCCAGAGACUCGGUGAAAUUGAAGUCGCGGUGAAAAUGCCGUGUACCCGCAGAAAGACGGAAAGACCCUGUGCACCUUUACUAUAGCUUGACAUUGGGAUUUGGAACUGCAUGUGUAGGAUAGGUGGGAGACUGUGAACUCUGUACGCUAGUAUGGGGGGAGUCAUUGUUGAAAUACCACCCUUGUUUUUUCAGGUCCCUAACCCUCGACCGUUAUCCGGUGAGGGAACAGUGUCUGGUGGGUAGUUUGACUGGGGCGGUCGCCUCCUAAAGAGUAACGGAGGCAUGCAAAGGUUCCCUCAGGCUGAUUGGAAACCAGCCGUCGAGUGCAAACGCAUAAGGGAGCUUGACUGCAAGAGAGACAUCUCGAGCAGGUACGAAAGUAGGUGUUAGUGAUCCGGUGAUCCCGAAUGGAAGGGUCAUCGCUCAUUGGAUAAAAGGUACGCCGGGGAUAACAGGCUGAUCGCAUCCAAGAGUUCACAUCGACGAUGCGGUUUGGCACCUCGAUGUCGGCUCAUCACAUCCUGGGGCUGAAGCAGGUCCCAAGGGUACGGCUGUUCGCCGUUUAAAGUGGUACGCGAGCUGGGUUUAAAACGUCGUGAGACAGUUUGGUCCCUAUCUUCUGUGGGCGCUGGAGAAUUGAAAGGGCCUGUCCCUAGUACGAGAGGACCGGGAUGGACGCACCCCUGGUGGACCUGUUGUCGUGCCAACGGCACAGCAGGGUAGCUAUGUGCGGAAGGGAUAACCGCUGAAAGCAUCUAAGCGGGAAGCCUGCCUUAAGAUAAGUUCUCCCUGGAGCAAUCCCUAAAGGGCCGAGGUAGACUACCUCGUUGAUAGGCUGGAGGUGGAAGCGCCGCGAGGUGUGGAGCUGACCAGUACUAAUAGCCCGUGCGGCUUGUGUUU